rnacentral:rRNA from 1 species
UCAGGAUGAACGCUAGCUACAGGCUUAACACAUGCAAGUCGAGGGGCAGCAGGAAACUAGCUUGCUAGUUCGCUGGCGACCGGCGCACGGGUGCGUAACACGUAUCCAACCUACCCAUGGCUCAGGGAUAGCCUUUCGAAAGAAAGAUUAAUACCUGAUGGUUUCCUUCACCCGCAUGGGUGUAUGAAUAAAGAUUCAUCGGCGAUGGAUGGGGAUGCGUCCGAUUAGCUUGUUGGCGGGGUAACGGCCCACCAAGGCGACGAUCGGUAGGGGCUCUGAGAGGAGGAUCCCCCACACUGGAACUGAGACACGGUCCAGACUCCUACGGGAGGCAGCAGUGAGGAAUAUUGGUCAAUGGGCGAAGGCCUGAACCAGCCCAAGUAGCGUAAGGGACGACUGCCCUAUGGGUUGUAAACCUCUUUUGUUUGGGAAUAAAGGACCCCACGCGUGGGGUUUUGCAUGUACCUUACGAAUAAGCAUCGGCUAAUUCCGUGCCAGCCGCUGC